GACGUUGGCCUCGAAUCUACUCUCUCGUUAUGAACAGAUCUGAACGAAUGAAAAGUUUAAAAGAUCCCAAGAUUUAGAGUAGUAGUGAAAAGAAAAAGUGUUGUGUAUGGUAAGAUUUCAAGAAUGUUAAAAAAAAAACCCCUUUUUGGCUGAGUGCUUGAGACAAUAUUUAUAGGUGAAGUUGAAACUCUAGGGUUUUGUUUGGGCGGGAUUUUGAGGCUAAGGUUUUGAAUUUCAAAACAUCCAUUAAAGAA